rnacentral:rRNA from 1 species
AUUGAACGCUGGCGGCAGGCCUAACACAUGCAAGUCGAACGAGUGGCGGACGGGUGAGUAAUGUCUGGGAAACUGCCCGAUGGCGGGGGAUAACUACUGGAAACGGUAGCUAAUACCGCAUACCAUCUGAUGUGCCCAGAGGGGAUUAGCUUGUUGGUGAGGUAACGGCUCACCUAGGCGACGAUCCCUAUCUGGUCUGAGAGGAUGACCCGCCACACUGGAACUGAGAAACGGUCCAGAUCCCUACGGGAGGCAGCAGUGGGGAAUAUUGCACACUGGGCGCAAGCCUGAUGCAGCCAUGCCGCGUGUAUGAAGAAGGCCUUCGGGGUGUAAAGUACUUUCAGCGGGGAGGCGUUACCCGCAGAAGAAGCACCGGCUAACUCCGUGCCAGCAGCCGCGGUAUAC